AUGGCGCUCCUCACCGUCCAGGGCAUGGCCAUGUCCACGGCCGCCUUCGCCUCCCACCACCACGGCGCCGUAUCCUCCUCCUCCUUCGGGCUCUCAGCCGCCGUAUCUUUCUCCCGCUCCCGCACCAACCUCGCCGUCACCGCCGUCUCGGCUCCUCUCACAUCAGUUCUUGAUGUCUACUGUGGAAGAGGGGACAGAAAGACAAAGAGAGGCAAAAGGUUCAGCCACUCAUAUGGGAAUGCACGGCCCCGUAACAAGAACAAGGGAACAGGCCCAGCACGGCUUUACGCCCCUCCAGCGCCUCCUAGGAAGGAUCAGUUUGAGGACGGGGAGAUCAUCGCAAUUGAGAUUGAUGAUGACAUCAUGGAAAGGAUGGAUUAG
rnacentral:rRNA from 1 species